CUACCAUCUUGUUCUGGGUCCUCAUCCGUUCCUCGUUUACGAGACGGUGCCAUUAUAGAGGAGGCUCAGUAGUGCGUUUGGUCGUUGCUAUCGUCCUGCUUCCUUAUAGGCGGUGUUUGGUGUAGUUAUCCAGUCACUAACUACAUUAGGUAUCUGUGAUGUGUCUGGAAUGUUCCCCCCACUUUGGGUGGGGGUGUUGUGGUGUCGCG